rnacentral:rRNA from 1 species
UUAAAGCGGUACGCGAGCUGGGUUCAGAACGUCGUGAGACAGUUUGGCCUCUAUCCUCCGUGAUCGUUUAGACAAUUGAGGAAACUUGCUCCUAGUACGAGAGGACCGGAGUGAACGAACCUCUGGUGUGCCUGUUGUCGCGUCAGCGGCAUUGCAGGGUAGCUAUGUUCGGCAGGGAUAACCGCUGAAAGCAUCUAAGUGGGAAGCCCAUUCCAAGAUCAAUUGUCCCCAUAAUCCCCCUCGAAGAUUACGAGGUAGAUAGGCUACAGGUGUACGCACGGUAACGUGUUCAGCCGAGUAGCACUAACGGGAGAU